rnacentral:rRNA from 1 species
GUGCCUAACACAUGCAAGUCGAACGAAGCACUGUGGAUAGAGACUUCGGUCAAUUGAAGCUUUGACUUAGUGGCGGACGGGUGAGUAACGCGUGAGGAACCUGCCUUUCAGUGGGGGACAACAGUUGGAAACGACUGCUAAUACCGCAUAAUGUGUUUUGGGGGCAUCCCCGGAACACCAAAGAUUUAUUGCUGAAAGAUGGCCUCGCGUCUGAUUAGAUAGUUGGUGGGGUAACGGCCUACCAAGUCGACGAUCAGUAGCCGGACUGAGAGGUUGAACGGCCACAUUGGGACUGAGAUACGGCCCAGACUCCUACGGGAGGCAGCAGUGGGGAAUAUUGCACAAUGGGGGAAACCCUGAUGCAGCAACGCCGCGUGAAGGAUGACGGUUUUCGGAUUGUAAACUUCUUUUCUUAGUGACGAAGACAGUGACGGUAGCUAAGGAAUAAGCAUCGGCUAACUACGUGCCAGCAGCCGCGGUAAUACGUAGGAUGCAAGCGUUAUCCGGAUUUACUGGGUGUAAAGGGAGCGCAGGCGGGACUGCAAGUUGGAUGUGAAAUACCGUGGCUUAACCACGGAACUGCAUCCAAAACUGUAGUUCUUGAGUGAAGUAGAGGCAAGCGGAAUUCCGAGUGUAGCGGUGAAAUGCGUAGAUAUUCGGAGGAACACCAGUGGCGAAGGCGGCUUGCUGGGCUUUAACUGACGCUGAGGCUCGAAAGUGUGGGGAGCAAACAGGAUUAGAUACCCUGGUAGUCCACACUGUAAACGAUGAUAGCUAGGUGUGGGGGGUCUGACCCCUUCCGUGCCGGAGUUAACGCAAUAAGCUAUCCACCUGGGGAGUACGACCGCAAGGUUGAAACUCAAAUGAAUUGACG